AGCGAACGCUGGCGGCAGGCCUAACACAUGCAAGUCGAACGAACCUUUCGGGGUUAGUGGCGGACGGGUGAGUAACACGUGGGAACGUGCCUUUAGGUUCGGAAUAACUCAGGGAAACUUGUGCUAAUACCGAAUGUGCCCUUCGGGGGAAAGAUUAAUCGCCUUUAGAGCGGCCCGCGUCUGAUUAGCUAGUUGGUUGAGGUAAUGGCUCACCAAGGCGACGAUCAGUAGCUGGUCUGAGAGGAUGAUCAGCCACAUUGGGACUGAGACACGGCCCAAACUCCGACGGGGGGCAGCAGUGGGGAAUCUUGCGCAAUGGGCGAAAGCCUGACGCAGCCAUGCCGCGUGAAUGAUGAAGGUCUUAGGAUUGUAAAAUUCUUUCUCCGGGGACGAUAAUGACGGUACCCGGAGAAGAAGCCCCGGCUAACUUCGUG
rnacentral:rRNA from 1 species